GACGAACGCUGGCGGCGUGCCUAAUACAUGCAAGUCGAGCGGACCAAAGGGAGCUUGCUCCUGGAGGUUAGCGGCGAACGGGUGAGUAACACGUGGGCAACCUGCCUGUAAGACUGGGAUAACAUCGAGAAAUCGGUGCUAAUACCGGAUAAUAAAAAGAACUGCAUGGUUCUUUUUUGAAAGAUGGUUUCGGCUAUCACUUACAGAUGGGCCCGCGGCGCAUUAGCUAGUUGGUGGGUAACGGCUCACCAAGGCGACGAUGCGUAGCCGACCUGAGAGGGUGAUCGGCCACACUGGGACUGAGACACGGCCCAGACUCCUACGGGAGGCAGCAGUAGGGAAUCUUCCGCAAAUGGACGAAAAGUCUGACGGAGCAACGCCGCGUGAGUGAUGAAGGUUUUCGGAUCGUAAAACUCUGUUGUUAGGGAAGAACAAGUGCCGUUCGAAAAGGGCGGCACCUUGACGGUACCUAACGAG
rnacentral:rRNA from 1 species